UACGGAGGAUGCGAGCGUUAUCCGGAUUUAUUGGGUUUAAAGGGUGCGCAGGCGGCCUGUUAAGUCAGCGGAAAAAGCCCGGGGCUCAACCCCGGCGAGCCGUUGAAACUGGCGAUCUUGAGUGGAAGAGAAGUAUGCGGAAUGCGUGGUGUAGCGGUGAAAUGCAUAGAUAUCACGCAGAACCCCGAUUGCGAAGGCAGCAUGCCGGCUCCACACUGACGCUGAGGCACGAAAGCGUGGGUAUCGAACAGG
rnacentral:rRNA from 1 species